rnacentral:rRNA from 1 species
AUACGUAGGGUGCGAGCGUUGUCCGGAAUUACUGGGCGUAAAGAGCUCGUAGGUGGUUUGUCGCGUCGUCUGUGAGAUUCCGGGGCUUAACUCCGGGCGUGCAGGCGAUACGGGCAUAACUUGAGUACUGUAGGGGAGACUGGAAUUCCUGGUGUAGCGGUGAAAUGCGCAGAUAUCAGGAGGAACACCGGUGGCGAAGGCGGGUCUCUGGGCAGUAACUGACGCGGAGGAGCGAAAGCAUGGGUAGCGAACAGGAUUAGAUACCCUGGUAGUCCAGGCCGUAAACGGUGGGCGCUAGGUGUAGGGGUCUUCCACGACUUCUGUGCCGUAGCUAACGCAUUAAGCGCCCCGCCUGGGGAGUACGGCCGCAAGGCUGAAACUCAAAGGAAUUGACGGGG